UAUUAAGUAGUAUAAUUUACAUUAAAUUUUGAGUUUAAGAAUAUAGUUCGCUCUAUCUUAAUUU
rnacentral:tRNA from 1 species